UACGAAGGGGGCGAGCGUUGUUCGGAAUUACUGGGCGUAAAGGGCGCGUAGGCGGCCUUCUAAGUCGGACGUGAAAUCCCUCGGCUUAACCGAGGAACUGCGUCCGAUACUGAAAGGCUUGAAUCCGGGAGAGGGAUGUGGAAUUCCAGGUGUAGCGGUGAAAUGCGUAGAUAUCUGGAGGAACACCGGUGGCGAAGGCGGCAUCCUGGACCGGCAUUGACGCUGAGGCGCGAAAGCUAGGGGAGCAAACGGG
rnacentral:rRNA from 1 species